rnacentral:tRNA from 1 species
GAGGGUAUAGCUCAGCAGUAGAGCAUGUACUUAGCAAGCUCAAGGUCCUGGGUUCAAUCCCCAGUGCCUCUA